rnacentral:misc_RNA from 1 species
CGUGCUCUCGAUCAGCACCUCGCCGUCGUCCAGCACCAGCGUCGGCACCCGCAUCAGCGGAUUGUAGAGCGCGAUCUUCUCCGCAUCGCCGAAGGUCGACCAUGGCGUGUGUUCGAACGGAAUGCCAUAGAACCGCAGCGCGAGNCGAGCGCGACCCGGCGCACAAAAGGAGAGUCGUACUGGCCGAUCAGGUUCAUCAAAUGUCUCCGUCAUCA